rnacentral:rRNA from 1 species
GGCGAACCGUGCAAACGUUGUUCGGAAUCACUGGGCUUAAAGGGCGCGUAGGCGGGCCAGCCAGUCUGUGGUGAAAGCCUCCAGCUUAACUGGAGAAGUGCCGUGGAUACUGCUGGCCUCGAGGAGGGUAGGGGCAUCUGGAACGGUCGGUGGAGCGGUGAAAUGCGUUGAUAUCGACCGGAACUCCGGUGGCGAAGGCGAGGUGCUGGGCCCUUUCUGACGCUGAGUGCGCGAAAGCCAGGGGAGCAAACGGG